rnacentral:rRNA from 1 species
UUUCAAGUAACAUGUAUAAAAUGUAAUAAUUUUAUUAGUUAUCUGAAUUUUCAAGUGGAGGGCAAGUCUGGUGCCAGCAGCCGCGGUAAUACCAGCUCCACUAGCUUAUACAAUCAUUGUUGCGGUUAAGAGGCUCGUAGUUGGAUUGAAUACAUUUUUUAAUACAAUACUGUGAACAAACCAGAGUGUAUAAAACAUGUAAUAUAUUAUAUAUUUAGCAAUGAAUGUUUUAUCAUGGAAUAUUGCUUUUUAAUAUAAUAUCGAUGGAGAUAGUUGGAGUUAAGAGUACUGAUAGGCGAGCGGUGAAAUGCAUUGACCCUAUUAAGACUAACAAAAGCGAAAGCACUUAACUAGAUUAUUCUCUUUGUAUUAUUACAAUGAAGAGCGAAGGUUGGGGGAACAAAGAGGAUCAGAUACCCUCGUAGUCCUAUUUUUACAUCAAACUAUGGGAUUUCAAUUACUUGUUUCUCUAUAUUUAAUUAUUUAUUAUAAUAUAAUUGAGUACUUAAUUGUUUACUCUUAUAUUUAAUAUAUAUUAUUUUUAUAAUUGAUUAUAUGUACUUUGAGCUCAUAUAAUUAUAUAGGUGAGAUGUAAGCAUUAUAAGUGAGUAAUAUAUAAGUAAUAUUAUAUUAUUAUGAUCUUUAUAUAAAAAUGUAAUGUGAUGCACGUUUUAGGUACGAGCUUACUAUAGAAAUAUUUAAAAUAAUACCCUCCUGGGGUAGUAUGCACGCAAGUGUGAAACUUGAAGGAAUUGACGGAAGGGCACCACAAGAACGCGUGGAGCAUGUGGCUUAAUUUGACUCAACCCGGGAAAUCUUACCAGGUCCAGACAUAUUGAGGAUUGACAGGCGAUAGUAUAUAAAAUAUAUUUUUAUAUGCAUAAAAAUGAUAGUCCUUUCAUGAUUAUAUGAUAGGUGGUGCAUGGCCGUUCUUAGUUCGUGGAGUGAUUUGUCUGCUUAAUUGCGUUUCAGUAAAUAAAAUAUAUAAUAUAUUAUAAUAUUUAGUUCUGCCUUUUAAUGGAGGAUUUAAAGUGAACAUAUUAUAUAUAUUAUUAUAUAAUAAAUGAAUGCAACGAACGUGACCGUAGCCUUUUAUUGCUAUUAUUAUUUAAUUAUAGCAUAAAAUUAAAGGGACCGCUGUCAUUACUAAAUAUGUGUUAAAAUAGAGUAAGAUUACGGCAAUAACAGGUCUGUGAUGCCCUCAGAUGUUCUGGGCUGCACACGUGCUACAAUAAUUACAUUAAUAAGUAUCUAUAUACUUUAUAAUAUAUAAUAUUAUAUUAAUACAACCUAUUUCGAAAGUAAAUCGGUAAUCAUUUAAAAAUCGUGAUUAAUUAAUAUAAAUAUAAUUAAUUUAAGGUGGGGAUAGUGUAUUGUUAAUUAUUACACUUGGCCUUAACUAGGAAUGCCUUGUACUCUUCUUUGGUUUAACAUACCAAGAGGAAUACGUCCCUGCCCUUUGUACACACCGCCCGUCGCUCUUACCGAUGAAUUAUAUUAUAAAUCUAAGGGAUUUAUUCUAAUUAAAAUAUAAAAAACUUAUAUACAUAAUGUGAUUUAAAGGAAAGAGAAGUCGUAACAAGGCAUCAGUAGGUGAACCUGCUGAUGGAUCAUU